AGUGAACGCUGGCGGUAGGCCUAACACAUGCAAGUCGAACGGCAGCACAGUAAGAGCUUGCUCUUACGGGUGGCGAGUGGCGGACGGGUGAGGAAUACAUCGGAAUCUACUUUUUCGUGGGGGAUAACGUAGGGAAACUUACGCUAAUACCGCAUACGACCUACGGGUGAAAGCAGGGGAUCUUCGGACCUUGCGCGAUUGAAUGAGCCGAUGUCGGAUUAGCUAGUUGGCGGGGUAAAGGCCCACCAAGGCGACGAUCCGUAGCUGGUCUGAGAGGAUGAGCAGCCACACUGGAACUGAGACACGGUCCAGACUCCUACGGGAGGCAGCAGUGGGGAAUAUUGGACAAUGGGCGCAAGCCUGAUCCAGCCAUACCGCGUGGGUGAAGAAGGCCUUCGUGUUGUAAAGCCCUUUUGUUGGGAAAGAAAAGCAGCAGGUUAAUACCCCGCUGUUCUGACGGUACCCAAAUAAUAAGCACCGGCUAACUUCGUG
rnacentral:rRNA from 1 species